GAAGUCGACCGCCUGGGGAGUACGGCCGCAAGGUUAAAACUCAAAGGAAUUGACGGGGACCCGCACAAGCGGUGGAUGAUGUGGAUUAAUUCGAUGCAACGCGAAAAACCUUACCUACCCUUGACAUGUCUGGAACCUUGCUGAGAGGCGAGGGUGCCUUCGGGAGCCAGAACACAGGUGCUGCAUGGCUGUCGUCAGCUCGUGUCGUGAGAUGUUGGGUUAAGUCCCGCAACGAGCGCAACCCUUGUCAUUAGUUGCUACGAAAGGGCACUCUAAUGAGACUGCCGGUGACAAACCGGAGGAAGGUGGGGAUGACGUCAGGUCAUCAUGGCCCUUAUGGGUAGGGCUACACACGUCAUACAAUGGCCGGUACAGAGGGCUGCCAACCCGCGAGGGGGAGCCAAUCCCAGAAAACCGGUCGUAGUCCGGAUCGCAGUCUGCAACUCGACUGCGUGAAGUCGGAAUCGCUAGUAAUCGCGGAUCAGCUUGCCGCGGUGAAUACGUUCCCGGGUCUUGUACACACCGCCCGUCACACCAUGGGAGCGGGUUCCGCCAGAAGUAGUUAGCCUAACCGCAAGGAGGGCGAUUACCACGGCGGGGUUCGUGACUGGGGUGAAGUCGUAACAAGG
rnacentral:rRNA from 1 species